rnacentral:rRNA from 1 species
UACGUAGGCAGCAAGCGUUGUUCGGAGUUACUGGGCGUAAAGGGUGCGUAGGCGGUUGUUUAAGUUUGGUGUGAAAUCUCCCGGCUCAACUGGGAGGGUGCGCCGAAUACUGAAUGACUAGAGUGCGGGAGAGGUGAGUGGAAUUCCUGGUGUAGCGGUGAAAUGCGUAGAUAUCAGGAGGAACACCGGUGGUGUAGACGGCUCACUGGACCGUAACUGACGCUGAGACACGAAAGCGUGGGUAGCAAACAGG